UGGGGAAUAUUGCACAAUGGGGGAAACCCUGAUGCAGCGACGCCGCGUGAGCGAAGAAGGCUUUCGAGUCGUAAAGCUCUGUCCUAUGAGAAGAUAAUGACGGUAUCAUAGGAGGAAGCCCUGGCUAAAUACGUGCCAGCAGCCGCGGUAAUACGUAUGGGGCGAGCGUUGUCCGGAAUUAUUGGGCGUAAAGGGUACGUAGGUGGUUUUUUAAGUCAGGUGUCAAAGCGUGGAGCUUAACUCCAUUAAGCACUUGAAACUGAAAGACUUGAGUGAAGGAGAGGAAAGUGGAAUUCCUAGUGUAGCGGUGAAAUGCGUAGAUAUUAGGAGGAAUACCGGUGGCGAAGGCGACUUUCUGGACUUUUACUGACGCUCAGGUACGAAAGCGUGGGGAGCAGACAGG
rnacentral:rRNA from 1 species